UAACCCAACAGCUGGGUUGAGCCUGUUGGGUCAUUUUGUUGGGUUAUUUUCUUAGUGUUGGGUCAUUUUUUGAGUAACCCAAACGCUGGGUUACCAGUCUGGUCCAAUUGAGUGACAGUUGAGAGAGUAAACCCCUCCCACUCCUCGACGCAUCAGACAAACUUUACCUUCGCGGGCAUUUUGAUCCACUUCAUCUCGGAAAGCUGUUAAUCGAAGAAUAAAAGCGUGCAGAAUAACAGCUAAUAUUAAUGGAUCAUUCUAUUCAAGAGAAUGUCAACUGGAACGUGGAUGUUUUCAUAACAGGCUUAAAGAUGAACAAAUUGAUAAAGAAACCCUCCUGCUGAACAUCGGUUUCCAAAAGUGCACACCACACUGUUGUCUACAACUCCCAGGAAAAGAAUCCUCUUUAGUAAGACUGCUCCGUGGAUAUGUCAGGUUAAGCAGUGCUGAAACCGAAAGAACUAACGCUCUUUAAAAUGUUUUGUGAGUUUAUAUGAAGAGGAAAGUUACGGUGUCCCUUUUUCACAUCCAUAACGCUUGUUUAUUUCUUUUUUUAUAGAAAACUUGUGCAUAGACUUAUAUUUUAUCAUAUAAAUGCGGUUCUAUCAACAAGGGUUUAGUAAAAUACUUUUUAUAGUGUUUUGAAGUGUUAAGUUGUCUAACUAUUUAUAUUUACUUGUGCCACUUUAAUAACCUUGUUAAAUGUAUAUGUUAAAAUCUAAACUAAUGUAAUUUAUUGAAGUUACUUUUCUUUAAAUAUGUAUAAACAUACAUUUC